UACAGAGGGGGCGAGCGUUGUUCGGAAUUACUGGGCGUAAAGGGCGCGUAGGCGGCCUUCUAAGUCGAACGUGAAAUCCCCGGGCUCAACCCGGGAACUGCGUCCGAUACUGGGAGGCUUGAAUCCGGGAGAGGGAUGUGGAAUUCCAGGUGUAGCGGUGAAAUGCGUAGAUAUCUGGAGGAAUACCGGUGGCGAAGGCGGCAUCCUGG
rnacentral:rRNA from 1 species